rnacentral:lncRNA from 1 species
ACCCUGGGUACUCUGCGCGCGCCCGCUGGCCCCGCCCGGCCCCAACGGCCCCAACUCCCGUCUCCUCCCAGUCCCCCGGAGCCGACCAGUGGUGGCGGCAGCCCCAGGUCCCGGGUCCCUCAGACAAAAAGGCGGGUGGAGGAGGAGUAGCCGAGCCCAGAGUCCUGCUCCGGCGCCGCCGAGCACCGCCCGCCUCAGCCGACCAGCCCCGUCGGCUACUGGGCCUAGCCUAGAGGAGAGGAGGGAAAGGCCGCGGAGGCCGCGAGGAGACGGCUGGGGCGCCAGCGGCCGGCUGCCGCCUAGUUGUGCUGCCCGGACCAAGGAAGGAGAAGUGGGAGGAGCGGGGAGCUCAGCGGCUCAGGACGACGACGCUCGCCACAUCCGGGACCCUCCGGCCGUGGCGGUCGCAGCGCCGGCAGCUCGGGCCUCAGCCCCUGCCUCUGUGGUGACUCCGCCGCGCUUCGACGUCGCCCCUGUCCCCGUCCCGCCCGCCGCCCCCGCCAACCCCGCCGCCGGGGACAUGUCCAACCCCUGAAGCCGGAGGAACGGGCCAGUCAGACUGCGCCCGACAGGAGGUGAAGUGAAAUCUGCAAGAGUCCUGCUCGUUCAAGGCCUGCAUACAGGAAAGAAGCAGGGGAAAAGCGUUAGAAACAGCUUUUGUUCUACAGCAUUUUAAAAUAUAAUAGGUAUAUUGAAAAGUCUGAUUCAGUUACAAUCAGUGUAUGGAAUCACAAGAAGAUCCAUAAGAAACAAGGUGCUGGAUUUCUCCGUUGUGUUCGUCUUUUUCCAGUGCCAUCAACCACCUCAAAGACACUGGUUAUCAGAGGUUGGAUUUAUGCAAACUUGGGCCAAAGGACAGUUAGAAGACAGUAGCUGAAGAAGCAUCUGUAGGGAAUCCAGAAGGAGCAUUCAUGAAGAUGUUACAAGCCCGGAAGCAGCACAUGAGCACUGAGCUGACUAUUGAGUCGGAGGCGCCCUCAGACAGCAGUGGCAUCAACUUGUCAGGCUUUGGGAGUGAGCAGCUAGACACCAAUGACGAGAGUGAUGUUAGCAGCGCACUAAGUUACAUCUUGCCUUAUCUCUCACUGAGAAAUCUAGGUGCAGAAUCAAUAUUGUUACCG